UACACUCAGGAGAGCCAGCAUUGAGAGGAUUAAUGCCCAAGUCAAUCUGGCACAAAUGACUACUAGACAGCACUGUAAGCCUCUCCAUGACAAACCAGCAAGCUGGUUCCCUGAAGGUUCACACUACAGUCAGUAUCCAAAGUCAGCAAAGCAAACCCCAAACACCAGAGAAAACUACCCUAGGAAAAGAGCUAAACUUUAAUAUAUAUAAAGGUCACACCAAAAAAAGCCCAGAAAAAUGAGCAAAAGACAAAGAAAAAACCUGACUCAAGAAAUUUACUUUGUGACAGGAAAGAUCAAAAUAUAAACUCAGAAGAGGACAACAAUGCCCAAACUGAAAGAUGUAAAGCCUCAAAAGAUGUCAGGCCCCAAAAGAAUUCCUGGAAGAACUCAAACUUCAAAUAAUAAAGGUUCUAUAUAUUGCUUCAGAUGCUGGUCUCUGGGGACAAACAGAAUAAAUGUGACCCAUGGCCCAAAGACCCCAAAAGUCUGUGGACUCACACAGCAGGAAGGAAGCACACACCACCAGGAUUCAGUCAGGAAAGACUCAAGGCCAGAUGCCUUUUGAACAACAUCAGUCCAGAUUCUCAAAGUGCAAUCCAGGCUGGAGGAGGCGUAGAGCUUCAAGUAAGAGCAGCAGCACAAGCCUGGGAGUUGGGAAAGCCGAGAAAGAGAUGCCGGACUCAAAAUGGCGGUCUCGGUGUGGCCAGGGGAGCAAAGGGCAUCCUUGGGGAAGCCCUCUUUGGUGCCUGAAGGGACACAAAGUAAAUGCUCAUCAUUUGGGAAAUGGCUGAACAAACUGUGAAACACGAAGGUAAUGGAACAUUGCUGCAAUUAUAGAAAGGAUGAAGAAUACAAAGCAUGGGAAGACUUGUAAGAUCUGAUGCAAAGUGAAGUAAGCAGAACCAGGAAAACACACACAGUGCCUAAAUGGAAACAACAAAAGAGAAACUGAAUUCCAUGAAUUAUUGACCAAGCUUGGCCCCAAAGGAGAGAUUUGACAAUCAACCUCCCUCCCUUCUCUACAAAGGUGAGGGCCUUUAAGAGAUGGCUCUCUGGAUUGCAGAGGGGAGGGGCAUUAGGUACGGAAGCUGUGACCAAAAAAAAAAAUCAAUAACAAUUUAAAUUUUAAAGAAAUAUGACCACUUCAGAGGGACAUGAGAGGCUGGACCAAGAAGGGGAGGGAAGGGGAAAGAACAUGGAUGAGGAAGAAGUGGGAGCUAUAUGUGUAGAGGGUAGAAAGGAGCAGGGGCCAGGGAGGAGAAGGGAUGUGGGGAUCCUGAGGUGGAGGGAUAUGAGAGUCAGGUUAGGUGAUGAGAUGGUUAACAGGUGGGAAAGGGGUAAAGGCCCAUUGGAAAAGAGGGGAGAGAGGAAGGCUGGACAGAGGCUGCCUGAGCAAAGGGUGGGAAGUCUGUACAGAAGAGGGUGGGACUUGCUGACCGGCAG